UACGUAGGGGGCAAGCGUUGUCCGGAUUUAUUGGGCGUAAAGAGCGUGUAGGCGGCCAGGUAGGUCUGCUGUGAAAACUCGAGGCUUAACCUCGAGCUGUCGGCGGAAACCAUCUGGCUAGAGUCCGGAAGAGGAGAAUGGAAUUCCCGGUGUAGCGGUGAAAUGCGCAGAUAUCGGGAAGAACACCGGUGGCGAAGGCGGCGCUCUGGACCGAGACUGACGCUGAGGCGCGAAGGCGUGGGGAGCGAACAGG
rnacentral:rRNA from 1 species